rnacentral:rRNA from 1 species
UACAGAGGAGCCAAGCGUUGUCCGGAUUGACUGGGCGUAAAGCGCACGCAGGCGGUUGCGCGCGUGGGGUGUGAAAUCUGGCCGCUUAACGGCCAGGCGCCAUCCCAUACGGCGCGACUGGAGUGAUGCAGAGGUCGAUGGAAUUGCCGGUGUAGUGGUGAAAUGCGUAGAUACAAUCAAGAACUCCGAUUGCGUAGGCAGCUAACUAGGCUGUAACUGACGCUGAGGCACGAAAGCGUGGGGAGCGAACAGG